rnacentral:lncRNA from 1 species
AGAUGGCCAAACCGCCUAAACUGUGACCAACAAGCACCACUUUUUCUUCAUUGGGUAACGAUGCCAUGAAUUCCCUCAAGGGCUUUAUGUAAUCAGAGAUCGAUCUCAGAGUGUUGACUUGCUGUGGAUCAACCCCUGACCCACCCAGGUCUAAGGCGGUAACAUUGUGGCCACCUGAUUUUAGCAGUGGCACCACCUUGUACCAUGACCAAGCGCCAUGGCGAGACCCAUGAACCAGCACAAAGUGCUUUGGUGGCUCCGAUGAUGUUCCCGGCACCUUGGAUAGAAGGUGGCAAAUUAAAAGUGAAACUAAGAGCAUGAGCUUCCAAAUCUGAUACAUGUUUUUAGGUUGGGUGUUGGGUAUUAUCUGGUUAUGGACAAAGCUCUUCACUUGAAACUUUGGUUGAAUGAAAUAUUAUAAAUCUUUCAGUUGGAACAACAAAUUUACUAGAAAAAAUAGUAUAUUAAUAUGGGUGGGUAUAUAAAUAAUUUGUGUCAUUUAUUUUUUUUUCCCACUGCCUCAUGACACUGGAUAAUGACAUUUUCAACGACGUGCACGGGACCAAAACAACGAUAUCAAGGAUGGGUUUCUCUCUUUGGAUUUGGCGGUUGACUCCAAACCAGAGAAAUACAUUCCAGAUCGGGGUGUAAUUAAACAGGAAAUUCAAUGAAUUGUUUGUGAAUUAUUUGUAUAAUGUUCAUUUAUUAACUUAAAUAAGUAUAAACAAAAUUUUUAUAUUCAUUUAAUAAAUGAACGAACACGAAUUGAGGUGUGUUCGGUUCGUUUAUAUUCACAAACAAGCUCGUUUAUUGGCUCAUUUAUAAGUUCAUUUAUUAACUACUUUAUAAGUUCGUUUAUUGACUCGUUCAUUUAUUAAUGAUAUUUUCUUAUAAAAAUUCUAUUAGUAUAUAUUAAUAAAAUUAUCUUAAAACUCGUUUAUUGUUCUAUUAAUAUAUAUUAAUAAAAUUAUCUUGGUUUGUAUUGUUUUUAUUUAUAAUAAAAUUAUUAAUAUUUAUAUUUGACUAUUUUAUAUCUAAACAAUAUAUGUGUAUGUAUUUAUUGUUUGUUUGUUUGUUUAUUAUUUAUUAACACUGUUCGUGAACAUGUUCAAAUAAAUUAAAUGAACAUAUUCGUGAACAAUAAAUAAACGAACAUGAACAGAAAUAAUUUUAAAUAAACGAAUAUGAAAAAAAUUUAAAAUUCUUAACGAACACAAAUUGAGCAUGAACAAGUUUAAAAAUAAACAAACAAACAUGGACAAAUGUUUGUUCUGAUUUACAGCCCUAAUUCCGAAAAUCACUUUGGUGGGGAAAACUAUAUAUGUUAGACGAGGGCUAAAAUCAGACCUGAUUUUCUAUACUCUUAAAAAAAGGCUGGCCGGUGGAGAACAGCCACAAGAUGGGCAUAAAUCCAUACAUUUUUGCUUUAAAUUUAAAAAUACAAGAUGAAAUUAAAGUGUUUAAGCUGUGCCCCAUGGUCAGCCCUUGACUAAAAUUCUCAUGGGAAAGAUGUUGGGCAAUUGUUCUCUGAUGAGUCAGAGCACAUGGUGUUGGAUGUAAGCCAUUGUAUCGUGGGAUGAGGCUUACUUAAGCCUAAUACCAUGGGGGAAGGGAUUGGCUUUGAUAAUGCCCAAGCACUCACCGGACUGGAGAGAAAUAUUGGGGAAGUUGAGCAUGGAGUUUUAGCUUUCCUGUUAAGGUAGACCCCAAAUACAAUAUUUUCCCUCUUUUUUUUUGUUUUAGAAUCCAUUAGGCGUGGGAAAAUUUGAACUUAUUGAUGAGGUAGAAGUUCAAGAGUAUGGAAGAAUAAAAGGGGCUUAAGACACUUCUCGAAAUAAAUAAAUAAAUAAAACAAUCGAAAUAAAUAAAUAAAUAAAACAAAGUGAGUAGACAAAAAGGAAAAUUGUCACACCCAUGUAUGCCGGAUUUGAGAUUAAAACGUGUAGCAGUGAAAUUAUUUGUUUGGCAAAGUGUAAUCACUCAUUUGUUUAUUUCGGCGAAUAGGAGUAUGUUUAUAUUAACCGCCGUGUAAGUAAGUGAAGAUUCUAUUUUAGGUCAUUCUACUAUUUAAAGAGAAAAAAUUUGUUAAGCGAAAAUGUAAUUAUGGUAUGAGUUCCACCAAAUGUAUAGUUCGCCUUGUUUGUUUGAGUAGUGUGCUUGUUGGGUUGUAAAAUGAUCUAAUUAGAAAUCGACCAGAUUGACUAGUUUAAUAUCCAUUAUACAAUAUCUUCAUUUAUAUUUCUCUCGGAGUUUGAAGUAGAGGUGUGCAUGGGCCAGGUGACCCGGCCCGACCCUACCCGAAGACCCGCCCGAAAUGUAGAAGGGUUUGGGCAAAAAUAUAGGCCCGAAAAAUGGGCUUGAGCAAAAAAAUAAAGCCCGUUUAAAAAACGGAUUGAGCCUCGGGUAAGACAUUUUUGGACUGGGCCCGGUCCGAAUUCACUACAUGACAAAAAACAUUUUUUUAAAUAUUAUUUUCUUAUUGUUUUCUCCCUAUUUUGCUACUAUUUUACUAUUAUGUUGCUACUAUUUUGUUGUUAUUGUUGAGAUAUUGUAUAAAACUUAUUUUAUUAUUUAUUUUAUUAUUAUUUUAAAGACAUUUGUUAAUGUUGUUAUUAUUUUAGAAACAUUUGCUUGUUAAGUUGCAUCUAUUUUAAUGUUGUUUAAGUAUACAUAUUUUUUAAAAUUUAUUUUUAAUUUGUUGAGAAGUAUUUAUUUUGAUGUUUUUAGUAUUUUUGAUGGUUUAUAUAUAUUUUAAAAUUAUAUAAAAAAUAAAAUAAAAAUUAAUAUGGAUGGGCUGGGUCGGGCCUGGGUUUUAACAUUUUUAUUCGGGUCGGGCUUGGAAAAAAAUUUAGGCAUAUUAUUUGGGAAACGGGCCUAAAUUUUUAGUUGGGCGCGACCCGAACCCGGCUCGGCCCGGCCCAUACACACCUCUAGUUUGAAUGCCAUUAAGAAGGACAAACUCUAAAUUAAGUGACAUUUGUUAAGUUCCAUUAAGUAAAAUUGGGUUAUAUAUGUGACAAGGGCUCGUAAGAAAGGUUAUUCUUCUUUCAAUAUUACUCUCUGAUUCUUUUUUUUUUUCAAAUCUAAUUGUAUCUCUCCCUUAUUAAGUUGGAAGCAAAGGUUCUGGGUUUAAUCGGUGCUCAUUCCAUCUCCGAGUAAGUGUUACGGCUCUACAUGUUAGGUUUUGAAAGAGUAAGUCUAUAAGGGGUAUAUGAACAAUAAGUUGUUAGUAUAAGGUCUUGCAUGGGGUUAUCUACGAUUUAGAUGUCAUGGAAUUUGUAUGCAUAAGGUUUGUAAUAGUGAAUCUAUGUUCUUUAAGCAGUUGUUAUUGCUGGUUUGAGAAGGAUGUCUGGGUUAGAGCUUCGAGCUACAAUGGGUAAGUAUCACAUGGGUCUCUAAUGUCGACUCCUACAAGUUCUUCUAGAUAGAUCUCUUGUGAUCGAUGUUCCAAUAACGAUGCAUAAGUACUUAAAUGACAGUUGAAAAAAUAUAUAUGUAAUCUUAGUAUAACGUUCUUGUGAGUUAAAUAUGUAAUGAUUUGUAUGUGUGGGUGUAAGUGAUUCUUUGAAGCAAUUAUGUGUGUGUGCCUGGGACGUAUACUGUGAUACAUGUUUGUGUUUAUGUGUGUGAAACUUGUAUUGAAGUCUGAUUUGAUUAAGAAAAUGAGUACACCCUACCUGAGUGUAUACUUAUGUUAGAUAUAUGAUUGAAAAUGUUAAAGAAAUGGGGUGUAAAAGAGUAAUGGGAGAUUAUGUGAUGUGAGCUUUGACACCAUGGUGGUAUUCAAUAUACAUGAAUUUCGGUAUGAUAAUUCUAAAGAAGUCCAUGGUCAUGGCACAUACUAGAAAGGGGCAGAUGAGCUGCAUUUAUCUACUGAGGUUUUCUGUGUGUCCCAGGGCGACGACAGACAAACCUCACACGAUGUGAGUUUAGGCAAAUCUAUAUCGCAAACACAACAGUUCAUGGAAUGCCUGGGUGGAAUUUUGAUUGGCCUUUGUGGCGAAUUUUGGUUAGCCUUUGUGGCGCAUUUUGUUUGACAUUUGUGGCAAAUUCUGAUUAGCCUUUGUGGCAUAUUCUUUAUGCUACCUUUGUGGCAUAUUCUAUAUGUUACCUUUGUGGUAUAUUCUAUUUGGCCCUUGCUACGUCCUUUGCUAAGUCUAUGUGGUAAAUUAUGUAUCGCAAUUGUGGUGAAUUAUGUAUCAUAAUUGUGGUGAAUUCUGGGUACACUCUGGGUGUUCUUUGAUAAUCAAUUUUAUGGUAAGAAAUGAUAUGUCUGGAGUUAUUUUGGUAUGGUUAGCUCUGUGAUGUAUCGAAGGAGUCAUAAGGGAAGUUUCCUGAAAGGAAGUAUAUAUCUAUAAGUUUAAAAAUGGUAUUCACCAUGGUAAUUCAAGAAUAACAUUGAAAAUUAAUUACAAAGCUAUGUUGGUUUGCAAACCCGCUAAAUCACUUGUUGAAUAAGCGAUUAAUUAAAAAAAUGCAUUCAUUCAUAAGCCUAAAUCGGCUACUCACUAGUUGACUUACUAAUCGCGCCUAGUGUCACGAUACAACACACCUAGUGUUACGACAUCUUUGGCAGACUACUCCAAGUUGAUUUUUCAUUGAAGUUUUGCUCCCCUGAAGUGAUGGAGGGUCGGUGUCACGACAUCAUUGCAUCAAUGUUGCAACACCCAAAGCAAUUGAUUAUUUCCUUAAGGUUUGGCCAUAGUCAUUUCUUUACACACUCAAAUAAACCAUUAGACUUCAACAUUCACAAGGUCAAGGAUGUUAUUCAUAAAAGUGGUUGAAAAAGCAUGUGCGAUGAUGGAUACAAAGUGCAUAUAUUGCCAGAAAGUAGCUAGAGUUAUGGAUGCAAAUCAUAGGAAAUUUAAUUCCAUGACAGUGGAAAUAUAAAAUAUCAAUUUUAUCACGUGGCACAACCUUCACGUAUCGCAUAGCAAAAACAACCUAAAAAAAUGGUUGUCAUUACUCUAUAACGGUUGACUGUUAACUUUAACAAUCUAAUGGCUUAAGUGAUUGAGAUUAAUUGAGUGAAAAAAGAAUAAGGGUUUAAUUAAUUUUUUGAAAAUAUUCAAGGACUUAAUUAAUAAAGAGAUAAAUAUAUAUCAUAAUUGUAUUUAAAGUGUAUAAAAAAUAUGAACGGUAUAAAAUUAUAUUCUUAAAGGACAUAUUAUAAAUAGAUUAUAAUACUUUAAAUUUCUUUUAGCGUUGACUAUAUUAUUAAAGUCUCAAAUUCAAUGACUCUAGUUUUUAGCUAAGCAUAAUAGCAUAUUAGAAAGUUGGAUAGGCUUGGACAUCAUCACCAUAUGAUCAGACCCUUUGAUCACUUCAACUUGAUGGGGUGGGUUUUCCCGGAUCAUCCACCCUACAAUAUCCUCCUUGAUAGCCAAAUCCUUUUCCGAAAUUAUAAAAACCCGAUUAACCGACCCGUAUAUCUUCUGAGAGAGUACUAUUACUCUUGAUAUGUCUUCUGCACUAUACAACCGUAUUGGUCUCAUCAACAUACUUGCCAAUGCAGAAUCCUGCAAUUAAUUUUUUAUUCAUACAUUUUUUUAGAUUCUAUAAGUAGAUUUAAGGUGUGAUAAGUAUUUUAUAUAAUGCAAAAUUCUAUUGAAUUCAUGUUCGUUACGAUAUCAUUUUUUUAAUUAUAUUGCUAUCAAAUGAGUUUCGGAAUCUCACACUAAUAAAUUUAAUAAAAAAGUUUAACAACGUUAACAAUUAAACAUGCAUGCAUUUUGAAAUUGAAAAGUAAAGAGACUAAGGCGGGUUUGGUUUCUCAAAAUAUUUUUUAUUUUCAUCUCUAGAGAAUAGUUUUCAUUUUCUGUUUUUUUUUUUUAAAUUGAAAAUAUGUUUGGUAAAUAAAAAUAAUAUUUUUAAUAAUAAAAACAUGAAAACAAACUUAGUAACUAUUUUUUUUCUAAUAAAAAUAAAAUAUAAUAACUACAUUUAUACGAAUUCAAAACAGUGUACCAAAUUUAAUAUUGAAAAUACUUUUGUGUUUACAUGAGUUUGAACUAAGGGCAGUUCAUCUAAAGUUAAUAGUCCUUGUUUUAAUUAUUUUCAUUCUUACAAAAUAUUUUUAGUGAAAACAGUAAAAAUAAUUUUUUAUUAUUUUCUAAUUUUUCACAUAUUUUUAUUUUUAUUUCCUUUUUUUAAGAAAAAAGAUUAUUAUCUCUAAAUUCUAAAAUUUUAAAUAGCAUAUGAAUUUUUACCCGAAUUACCAAGUAAUUUAUUAAAAACUCAGCCCGAAUAGACCGGACCUAUGAAGCCGAAGCAGUAAUGAGAGUAUCGUACCUCAGGUGGGCUGAGCUGGUAGAGUUUAGAAGAGAGGAACAUUGGCCGAAAAGUGAAGGUGGUUGGAGGGCUGCUAGGCCCAUCAUCAUAUGUAUAAUGGUUCUCCAUUUGGGGAUCUAGAUCACGUAAUACCUUUCAACAAAAACAAACCAGUUUCUUUUCAAUAAUUUAUUCAAUAAUAAAAUGGAUCAUUGCGUCAUUGCAUACGUACCUUCUGAGUGAGAAUGGAAGCGUUGAGUGUUGGACCAGGCAUGAGGGCUGUCACAAAAACUGCUACAGAGAUUUUUUCCGGAAACAUUUCCAUUGCUUGAGAGAUGGCCAAACCGCCUAAACUGUGACCAACAAGCACCACUUUUUCUUCAUCGGGUAACGAUGCCAUGAAUUCUCUCAAGGGCUUUAUGUAAUCAGAGAUCGAUCUCAGAGUGUUGACUUGCUGUGGAUCAACCCCUGACCCACCCAGGUCUAAGGCGGUAACAUUGUGGCCACCUGAUUUUAGCAGUGGCACCACCUUGUACCAUGACCAAGCGCCAUGGCAAGCCCCAUGAACCAGCACAAAGUGCUUUGGUGGCUCCGAUGAUGUUCCCGGCACCUUGGAUAGAAGGUGGCAAAU